rnacentral:rRNA from 1 species
UACGUAGGGUGCAAGCGUUGUCCGGAAUUAUUGGGCGUAAAGAGCUCGUAGGCGGUUUGUUGCGUCGGCUGUGAAAUCCCGAGGCUCAACCUCGGGUCUGCAGUCGAUACGAGCAAACUAGAGUGUUGCAGGGGAGACUGGAAUUCCUGGUGUAGCGGUGAAAUGCGUAGAGAUCCGGAGGAAUACCAAAGGCGAAGGCACUCUUCUGGGAAGUUCCUGACGCUCAGGUGCGAAAGCUAGGGGAGCGAACGGG